AUGGAACAUGUCCCAGUCGGGCUGCAUGAACUCGCCGAGGAAGAGCGUGUUGUAAGCGACGGAGGAGAUGUGGACGGUGUGCGACGCCGGGUCGCGCGGGUAGAAGUCGUCGGAGGCGCGCACGACGGCGGUCUGCUUGGCGCUGUAGAGCAUGUCGGUGUUGUGGCACAUGCAGGAGAUGCAUCCGUUGUCGGGGAAGUUGCGGGCGACGGAGGCCUCGAGCGCGCGGUGGUAGGCGCGUGUGAGCGCGACGCGGCCGCCGUGGCCGGCGCCGAGGGUCUCCACGAUGUUCUGCACGUCCACCUUGACGCCGUCGACGCCGCAGGCGGCCAGGUAGGCGUGGAGCUCGUCGUAGAAGCUGUAGACCUUGCGCGGGUGCACGAGGCCGAGGCCGAGCACGGAGAGCGAGUCCAUGACGAUGUCGGGCUGGUUGCCGGUGACGCCCGGCGACUGCACCGGGUAGGCCAGCGCGGACUCGUAGUGCUCCAUCCCGGCCGCCGACGGCUUGACGCCGCCCCAGUAGCCGGCCAUGGCGUGCCAGACGUAGACGCUCUUGACGCCGUGCUCCUUCUUGGUCUCCUCCACCAGCCGCUUCAGCCCCGGGGUCUCCUCCUGCUGCUCGCUCUGGAACUUGGUGUUCUCCUUGAUGCCGGUGAGCCUGCUCGCGAACUGCGCCCCUUCCUGGACGGCGACGCUCGGGUCUUCCUUGUUCUCGCUGCCGAUCUGCUGCCAGCCGUCGUCAAUGAUGAGGAACCGCGGCGGCGCGCCACCCUCCGCCAGGCUGCGGAGCCCCUGCUUGACGCCGUCGGCCGUCACGUCCGUGUAGAAGGCGUCCCACGUGCACCACCCGAACCAGUCCACAAACGACGGCACCUGCAUAAGCCAAUCCACAAGCACACAAAAAAAUCAAGAUACGAGCGGUGGACUUAA
rnacentral:rRNA from 1 species